UUGAGUGAACUCAUGGAGGUGGAGCUGAGUGACCCAUAGAGGUGGCACCAAAUGACCCAUGGAGGUGGCACAGAGUCACCCAUGGAGGUGGCACUGAGUAGCCCAUGAAGGUGGCACUGAAUGACCCAUGGAGGUGGCAUUGAGUGACCUCAUGGAGGUGGCACCGAGUGACCCAUGGAGGUGGCACUGAGUGACCCAUGGAGGUGGCACCGGGUGUCCUGUGGAGGUGGCACCGAGUGUCACAUGGUGGUGGCACUGAAUGACCCAUGGAGGUGGCACUGAGUGACCCAUGGAGGUGGCACGGAGUGACCCUAUGGAGGUAGCACUAAGUGAACCCAUGGAGGUGGCACUGAGUGAGCCCAUGGAGCUGGCACUGAGGGUCCCUGAAGGUGGCACUGAGUGACUCAUGGAGGUGGCAGCAAGGGUCCCAUGGAGGUGGCAGCGAGUGACCCAUGGAGGUGGCACUGAGGGACCCAUGGAAGUGGCACUGACUGACCCAUGGAGGUGGCACUGUGUGACCCAUGGUGGUGGCAGCCUUUGACCCAUGGAGGAGACACCGAAUGACCCCAUGGAGGUGGCACUGAGUGACCCCAUGGAGGUGGCACCGUGUGUCCCAUGGAGGUGGCACUGAGGGACCCCAUGGAGGUGGCACUGAGUGUCCCACAGAGGUGGCAAUGAGUGACCCAUGGAGGUGGCAGCGAAUGUCCCAUGGAGGUGGCACUGAGUGACCCAUGGAGGUGGCACUGACUGACCCAUGGAGGUGGCACCGAGUGUCCCAUGGAGGUGGCAGUGAGUGAAAUAACAGAGGUGGCACUGAGUCACCCAUGAAGGUGACACCAAGUCACCUCAUCUAGGUGGCACUGAGUGGCCCAUGGAGGUGGCACUGGGUAACCUCAUGGAGGUGGCACUGAGUGACCCAAGGAGGUGGAACCGAGUGACCUCACAGAGGUGGCACUGAGUGACCUAUGGAGGUGUCAUAGGGUGUCCUGUGGAGGUGGCAGUGAGUGUCACAUGUUGGUGGCACUGAGUGACCCAUGGAGGUGGCACCGAGUGACCCAAGGAGGUGGCACCGAGUGACCCAUAGAGGUGGCACUAAGUGUCCUAUUGAGGUGGCACCGAGUGUCACAUGGGGGUGGCACUGAGUGACCCAUGGAGGUGGCACCGAGUGACCCGUGGAGGUGGCACUGAGUGACUCUUGGAGGUGGCACUGAGUGUCCUAUUGAGGUGGCACCGAGUGACCCAUGGAGGUGGCACCGGGUAGCCCAUGGAGGUGGCACUGAGUGACCCCAUGGGUGUGGCACCGUGUGUCCCAUGGAGGUGGCACUGAGGGACCCCAUGGAGGUGGCACUGAGUGUCCCACAGAGGUGGCAAUGAGUGACCCAUGGAGGUGGCAGUGAGUGACCCAUGGAGGUGGCACCGACUGACCCAUGGAGGUGGCACCGAGUGUCCCAAGGAGGUGGCACCAAGUCUUCUGUGGAGGUGGCACCGAAUGUCCCAUGGAAGUGGCACCGAGUGACCCAUGGUGGUGGCACCGAGUGACCCAUGGAGGUGGCAUUGACUGACCCCAUGGAGGUGGCACCGUGUGUCCUGUAGAGGUGGCACCGAAUGACCCAUGGAGGUGGCACUGGGUAACCUCACAGAGGUGGCCCUGUGUGACCCAUGGAGGUGGCACCGUGUGACCCAUGGAGGUGGCACCGUGCGACCCAUGGAGGUGGCACCCUUUGACCCAUGGAGGAGGCACCGAAUGACCCCAUGGAGGUGGCACUGAGUGACCCCAUGGGUGUGGCACCGUGUGUCCCAUGGAGGUGGCAGUGAGGGACCCCAUGGAGGUGGCACUGAGUGUCCCACAGAGGUGGCACUUAGUGACCCAUGGAGGUGGCAUUGACUGACCCCAUGGAGGUGGCACUGGCCAAGUUCGUCAGGACUCGGGAACGGCGCCAAGGUCCUGGCAGGGUGAAACCUCGUCCUUGGGGAGCUGGAGGAGCCGUGUGGGCCUCAGGAACAGCACCAAGGUCCUGGCAGGGCAAAAUCUUCUCCCUGGUGAGCUGUGAGGGCAUCCCUGGGGUGACCCCAGCUGGGCAGGACUUGAGUGACUGUGCCAAGGUCCUGGCAGGACGAAACCUCGUCCUUGGGGAGCUGGAGGAGCCGUGAAGGACUCGGGAAGUGCACCAAGGUCCUGGCAGGGUAAAAGCUCAUCCUCAGGGGGCUGGAAGAGCCGUGAAGGACUCGGGAAGUGCACCAAGGUCCUGGCAGGGUAAAAGCUCAUCCUCAGGGGGCUGGAGGAGCCGUGAAGGACUCGGGAAGUGCACCAAGGUCCUGGCAGGGUAAAAGCUCAUCCUCAGGGGGCUGGAGGAGCCGUGAAGGACUCGGGAAGUGCACCAAGGUCCUGGCAGGGUAAAAGCUCAUCCUCAGGGGGCUGGAGGAGCCGUGAAGGACUCGA